AUGGGGAAACACAUUAUUAGAGAAGGUCUGUAUAAAGGAAUUCUCUCUUCGUUGUCUCAGAUGGAAGGGGAACAUCGGAGUUUUAGCAAAGAUCUGAUGGAGUUGAGAUGGGGGCGUCGUCGCCGGCGUUCCUCCCAACCACUGCUCGAUACCUUAGGAAGUGAAGCGGACCACAUUAGUGCUCUCCCUACCGACCUACUCCUCCUCAUCCUUGCCCGACUCAGAUGCAUUGCCGCCGCCGCGCGCACCAGCGCCCUCUCCCGCCGGUGGCGUGGCCUCUGGGCCCACCUCCAACAGAUCGUCUUACUCAACAUCACCUUCCCCAAGAUCGAAGCGGCGAUGGGCCACGUUCCUCGGCCCCCGAGCAUGAUUUCCCUCCUCGAGAUCCAUGUCGCCAAGGAGGGCUGGCACGUCCCCAAGAAACAAAGGCGCCUCCAUGGGCUCCGCAAGCUUGAUGUAACCUCGCUGCUCCAUGCUGCAGCGCGACUUGAGCUGAAGGAGGUCAUCUUUGGCCUCCCCUUGGAAAUAAUCAAUCCCUAUAUCAUGGAUCUACCUUGCUUCCACCGCGCCACCUCGAUCACGAUGGAACUUCCCGUCGUCAUCUGUCGUGUGCCAGACGGUGUCGAGUUCACCGCACUCAAGACGUUGAUUCUGUCGUCCUGCUACAUCAACAUCGUUGCCAUGCUCUCAUGUUGCCCGUGCUUGCGCACGCUCCACCUCAAGCGUGUUGGCAUACAUGAGAACAACCUGACAAUCCACUCUCCGUCACUUCAGGAGAUUGUAGUGGACGGGAAUUCAUGGAUAGACCAUGUAGACAUCGUUGCCCCCAUGCUUAAGAAAUUUACCAUGUCCUUUGCCACAAUGGCGGAGUCCAAAAUUUUCUUCUUGGCCCCAGUGGUGGAGAAGGUGUCAUGGAACUGGUUACCCAGAUGGCCCAUUGUGUUUGGUCUUUGGCAGCUCCAACUGUUGAGAUUGCAGGCACCAGUUGAGAGACAAGGACAAUUCCCUUCACUCCGAAUUGAUGUCUGUGCGUUGUCAUCUAAUUUCCUUGAUGAGUUGGCCAACUUUACACAAGAGAUAGAGAAGCAUAUGGUUGUUGCCUUCUUUGUUGUAGAGCUACAUCUCACAACAAAGGGGCAUGUUUUUGGAGCGCUUGUGUUUCAUCUUCUUUGGAUUAAUCUAAUGGGCACUGCUAUGCAAAAGCUUAAGGUUUUUUUGUGGAGAACAAUGGUGCAAGAAGAAUGCAAACCAGAGUGUCCAUGUGCGCCCACAAAUUGGAGAACCCAAAACAUCUCACUGACUACUCUCAAAGAAGUGGAGAUCAAUGGCUUUGAAGGAGUAGAUCAUGAGUUUGAUUUCUUGAAACUCAUACUCAAAUGUUCGCCAAACCUUAAAGGAAUGACUUUAAAUCUGUCACAUGAAGUCUGGUCAAGGAAAGGUGGAUGCGAAAUAGCACAAAACAUCUUCAGGGCAUAUCCUUCUGUGAAGUGCCAUGUUUAUCUAAUGUCUGGGUGCUUCAAAUGUGGAAUUGACAUUCCAAUUACAAAGUCUAGUUGUGUACGUCUAUUAAAAUUUUGCGGAAUAUGGUCUCUUUGUAAAGUCACGGUGGUUGUCCCCCGACAAACUCAAGCCUUCUCGACCUUCCAACUUUUUUUUUAUAACACAGCUUGUAUCUUUGAUGCAGAGCCUGAAUUGCUAGCGGACGACAGGGGGCGUUAGUGAGCUUCGGAGGGAACUAUUCAGAGCCAGCCAGUCUUCUUCUGGCGAACUUCCUUCUUUGGGAACCGGUCUCAGUCCCAUCCUUCCUCACUACCAGAUAGACGGCACUCAGGAGAUCUACGCAGGUGGAGUUCCCUGUUUGUCUGCGGUGCACCGUACCCGGCAGUCCUUUGUAGCCAUGGUUUAUCACUCUAGUUUCAUUGACGAUGAUGGGAUCACAAAAGCCUGUGGGUGUCCUUUGCUUCCACUAAAAACUCAUAUAAAGGGCCCAGCCCCAGCCGCGGAUUCAGAUAAGGCGGAUAUAGUUGAUGAAGCGAUAACUUUCUUCCGAGCAAAUGUUUUCUUCAAAAACUUCCAUGUCAAAAGCCCAGCAGACAAAUUGCUCAUCUAUCUGACAUCUUACAUCAAUAUUGCCUUGAAAAGAUUAGAAACCUGCCGGACGCUGGCUGUCGGAACUAAGGCAAUCAUUAACCUGGGGUUGGAAAAAGUUCCUGUGCCUGGGGAACCAGGGUUUCCAUUCCCUGGACUUUUCACUCUCCCCCAAUCUGGGGAGGAAGCAGAACUGUUGAGGAACUAUCUGAAGCAGAUAAGGGAGGAAACGAGCGGGAGGCUGCUCAACUGUGCAUACAGGGCUAAUGGCACUCCAAACAAAUGGUGGUUGGCUUUUGCAAAGAGGAAGUUCAUGAACGUUGUCAUCCUUUAGAGCGUAAGCAUAUCAGCAACAGCUUAAGAGGCGUUCAUGUAAAUCCUGAUUGCACCUGCACAUUUAUUCCUCCGGUGAUGUAAAGAUUCUUUCUCUUGAAGACUUCAAGUAUACAAUGCUGAAAACAUUUUCUGGCAAUGCACCUGCUGUUAUCGUGGCCUUCA